rnacentral:rRNA from 1 species
GACAGAGGGUGCAAACGUUGUUCGGAAUUACUGGGCGUAAAGCGCGUGUAGGCGGCUGUGUAAGUCGGGCGUGAAAUCCCAUGGCUCAACCAUGGAAGUACACCCGAAACUGCGUAGCUAGACGUCUGGAGAGGAAGGUGGAAUGCUUGGUGUAGAGGUGAAAUUCGUAGAUAUCAAGCGGAACACCGGUGGCGAAGGCGGCCUUCUGGACAGUGACUGACGCUGAGACGGCGAAAAGCGUGGGGAGCAAACAGG